UACGGGGGGAGCCAGCGUUGUUCGGAUUUACUGGGCGUAAAGGGCGCGUAGGCGGCCACCGCAAGUCGGUUGUGAAAUCUCCGGGCUUAACCCGGAAAGGUCAAUCGAUACUGCGGGGCUAGAGUGCAGAAGGGGCAACUGGAAUUCUCGGUGUAGCGGUGAAAUGCGUAGAUAUCGAGAGGAACACCUGCGGCGAAGGCGGGUUGCUGGGCUGACACUGACGCUGAAGCGCGAAAGCUAGGGGAGCGAACGGG
rnacentral:rRNA from 1 species